rnacentral:rRNA from 1 species
GUGUCAGCCGCCGCGGUAAUACGUAGGGGGCAAGCGUUACUCGGAUUUAUUGGGCGUAAAGAGAAUUAAGGCGGUCAUGUAAGUCAGUGGUGAAAUCCCCCGGCUCAACUGGGGAAUUGCCUCUGAUACUGCGUGACUUGAGGACAGGAGAGGAAGGCGGAAUUCCCGGUGUAGCGGUGGAAUGCGUAGAUAUCGGGAGGAACACCUGAGGCGAAGGCGGCUUUCUGGACUGGUCCUGACGCUGAUAUUCGAAAGCUAGGGGAGCAAACAGGAUUAGAUACCCCCGUAGUCC